GAGCAGCCAGGAGGCCGAGGUGUACCUCAGUGCUGUUGUUGCCUACGCCCAGUUUGAGCUGAACACGGACAUGGUUCUGUUCAAGGAUACCUUGCCCUUCCAGACAAGGACAGCCACUUUCACGAUGCACAACACAGGCGAGGUAGCUCUGAAAUACUUCUGGGAGAAAGCUGCAGAGAGUGAACCAGCCAAGAAGCCAUACUCAACCACUCUGAUGCGUCGGUUCCUCUCCUAUGAUACUGUAAAGCAU